GCCUGGCAACAUUGUAGGAAGCAGCUCCACGGCGCUGCACCAGCCCUCACGGGGCAGGAGAUCUUGAUUUCUACAGAGGCUGUUUCCUCCCAGCCUUGCGCAAGGCCCACUGCAGAGACAAAGUGAUGUGGCAAAAAGCGUGAGUGCAGGAGCCACACUGGCCUCCAUCCCUGAGAUUUGCUGGUAGAAGAAAAAGAAUCAGUGUGGGCUGAGCUCCUACGAUGUGCCCUUCCUGGGUCUGGCAGGGGAAUCACAGGACGAAUGAAUAAGGCAUAUUCCCUGCCCUGAGGAGGUGUCCAUAGGGAAGUCAAAAUUAAGCCACCUCCAGAAUUCUGAAGUCAAAGGAACACUGUCAACAGAGCUGUGAACAAAAUGCUUAAAGCCAUGAUAAUCUACAGAGAGACUUAAAGGGGCGGCGUGGGGUAGGAGCUGGUGCUGAGGAUGAGAAGGGAGAAUUCGCCUGGUGGAGAACUGAUAGGCCAGGCUGGGGUCACGAUGGUGGAGGAGGUGCUGGAGUUGAUGAGGUACCAGAGUGACCUCAAAGAAAG